rnacentral:rRNA from 1 species
CAUUACCGAGUUUACAACUCCCAAACCCAAUGUGAACGUUACCAAACUGUUGCCUCGGCGGGAUCUCUGCCCCGGGUGCGUCGCAGCCCCGGACCAAGGCGCCCGCCGGAGGACCAACCAAAACUCUUAUUGUAUACCCCCUCGCGGGUUUUUUUAUAAUCUGAGCCUUCUCGGCGCCUCUCGUAGGCGUUUCGAAAAUGAAUCAAAACUUUCAACAACGGAUCUCUUGGUUCUGGCAUCGAUGAAGAACGCAGCGAAAUGCGAUAAGUAAUGUGAAUUGCAGAAUUCAGUGAAUCAUCGAAUCUUUGAACGCACAUUGCGCCCGCCAGUAUUCUGGCGGGCAUGCCUGUCCGAGCGUCAUUUCAACCCUCGAACCCCUCCGGGGGGUCGGCGUUGGGGAUCGGCCCUCCCUUAGCGGGUGGCCGUCUCCGAAAUACAGUGGCGGUCUCGCCGCAGCCUCUCCUGCGCAGUAGUUUGCACACUCGCAUCGGGAGCGCGGCGCGUCCACAGCCGUUAAACACCCAACUUCUGAAAUGUUGACCUCGGAUC